rnacentral:misc_RNA from 1 species
CAUUGAGCCAAACCACAACCGACCCGUCUUUGCGGAGAGAGAGGGAGAGAGCUCCUCGAGAAUUCUAUAAUAGGAAACCCACGAUCCCCAACCGCAAACCUCUCUCUCUUCAAUUUACUCGCUCCUGUUUCACUGUCUCAGUUCGCUAAUCGAUUCUAUCUUCUUCAGUUUUUAUUCUUGAUUGAUUCCUCUUCCGUUUCAUAAUGAAAAAGAGAGCUAGAACCACUCCCGAUAAGGCGGUGCCCAAUGUUUGGCAACGGGAGGUUGGUGAGCUCUCCACCCGGAAUUUCGCUCACCGUCUCGCUGCAUCUGAGGAUCUUGUACUGCGACUUGAUAUAUACAAGAAGCUAGAGAAGCACAGAGGCUGUGUAAAUACGGUAAGCUUCAAUGCUGAUGGUGACAUUCUGGUGUCAGGUUCUGAUGACAGGCGGGUCAUACUCUGGGAUUGGGAAACUGGGCGUAUCAAGCUUUCUUUCCAUUCUGGUCAUAAUAACAAUGUUUUUCAAGCCAAAAUAAUGCCUUACACAGAUGAUCGAAGUAUUGUUACAUGUGCUGCAGAUGGUCAGGUUCGACAUGCUCAGAUUCUGGAGCGUGGAGCAGUGGAGACUGCGUUGCUAGCAAAACACCAAGGACGAGCUCAUAAGUUGGCUAUUGAGCCUGGGAGCCCUCAUAUAUUUUAUACUUGUGGCGAGGAUGGAUUGGUUCAACAUUUUGAUCUGAGAACUAGGCGUGCCAUGGAACUUUUCACUUGCCAACCAAUUGCUGAUAGGAGGAAUUACAUGCCAGUCGUCCAUCUAAAUGCAAUUGCAAUUGAUCCAAGGAACCCAAAUCUCUUUGCAGUUGCAGGGUCAGAUGAGUAUACUCGAGUUUAUGAUAUCCGCAUGUAUAAGUGGGAUGCUUCAACUGAAUUUGGUCGACCUACAGAUUACUUUUGUCCUUCACAUUUGAUUGGUGAUGAGAAAGUUGGAAUAACAGGCUUGUCAUUCUCAGACCAGAGUGAGCUUCUAGUCUCAUAUAAUGAUGAGUUCAUCUAUCUUUUCAUGCGAGACAUGGGAUUUGGUCCCAAUCCAGACCCAUCCUCUCGAGUUCCCAUGGGCAGUGAUGCAAGUGAAAUGAGGCCUAUGGAUGCUGAUGAAAAAACUGCGCCCCAAGUAUACAAAGGACAUCGAAAUUGUGAGACUGUGAAAGGGGUGAGCUUCUUUGGGCCUGGAUGCGAGUAUGUGGCGAGUGGAUCAGACUGUGGUCGGAUAUUCAUUUGGAAGAAAAAGGGUGGAGAGCUCAUUCGUGUAAUGGAAGCAGAUAAGCAUGUGGUCAACUGCAUUGAACCUCAUCCUCAUGCCACUGUGCUUGCUAGUAGUGGAAUUGAGACUGAUAUAAAGAUAUGGACUCCAAAAGCCCUUGAGAGAGCAACUCUGCCUACAAACAUUGAACAGCUGAAACCGAAGGCUAGGAGCAGGAGCUUGAUGUACCCUGUAGCUUCACCACUGGACCUGAUGUUGCAACUAUUUUCUUUGCGAAGGCGGAGAAAUAGCCCAGAGCGUAAUGAAGAGAGCUCAGCUGCUGGUAGAGAUCUUCUAGAGUUUAUAUUGACAUUCAAUGCCAACAGUGAUUCAGAUGAUGGAGGUGAUUCAUCAAGUCGUGAUGACUUGUUUGGCUAGGAGAUAAUUGGCUGCCUUUGGCCUAUAAGAACCAUAGUAAUUGUACAUAACAUAUUGUAUAAGUCAAGCUAUUUUGUGAAGCCUCACAAAUUUUAAUGCCUAAGUGGCUAUUUUAUUCAAGUUUUUUAAUGAAUGAGAAAAC